rnacentral:rRNA from 1 species
AUGUCGACAAGCUCGGUUAGGUCAUCGCUCGGCGACCGUUCGGUGGUGGUGCCGCUCAUAAGAUGCCCUUUUUGCCCUGCUCGUGUGAAGUUCUAUGUGUCGAACACGGAGAAGCACGAGGGCUGGGUCUUCUACAUGUGUCUUGUUAGUGGAAGACCAUUUCUGGCAUUGGGAGUUAGAGUACAUUGUCUACUUGCUGGAUAA